AGGUGCAAUCAUACUAGCAUUAAUGCACCAUAUCCCAUUAGAAAUCUACAGUUAAGUUUGUUUGGGCUAGAAUAGUACUGGGAUGGGUGACCUCCCGAGAAGUCCUAGUGUUGCACCCU
rnacentral:rRNA from 1 species